AAAAUCCUUCGGGAUUGGAAUUCUUAACCUAGUGGCGGACGGGUGAGUAACGCGUGAGCAAUCUGCCUUUAAGAGGGGGACAACAGUUGGAAACGACUGCUAAUACCGAAUACGUUCCUUAGGUCCGCAUGACCCAAGGAAGAAAGGGUGGCCUCUACUUGUAAGCUAUCGCCUGAAGAGGGGUUUGCGUCUGAUUAGGUAGUUGGUGAGGUAACGGCCCACCAAGCCGACGAUCAGUAGCCGGUCUGAGAGGAUGAACGGCCACACUGGAACUGAGACACGGUCCAGACUCC
rnacentral:rRNA from 1 species